rnacentral:rRNA from 1 species
AUUGAACGCUGGCGGCAUGCCUUACACAUGCAAGUCGAACGGCAGCACGGGAGCAAUCCUGGUGGCGAGUGGCGAACGGGUGAGUAAUAUAUCGGAACGUGCCCAGUCGUGGGGAUAACGUAGCGAAAGCUACGCUAAUACCGCAUACGAUCUAUGGAUGAAGGCGGGGGAUCGACAAGACCUCGCGCGAUUGGAGCGGCCGAUAUCAGAUUAGGUAGUUGGUGAGGUAAAGGCUCACCAAGCCGACGAUCUGUAGCUGGUCUGAGAGGACGACCAGCCACACUGGGACU